rnacentral:rRNA from 1 species
CCUACGGGCGGCAGCAGUGAGGAAUAUUGGUCAAUGGGCGAGAGCCUGAACCAGCCAAGUCGCGUGAGGGAGUACUGCCCUACGGGUUGUAAACCUCUUUUGUCGGGGAGCAAAAGCCGGACGUGUCCGGCUGUUAGAGUACCCGAAGAAAAAGCAUCGGCUAACUCUGUGCCAGCAGCCGCGGUAAUACGGAGGAUGCGAGCGUUAUCGGGGUUUAGUGGGUUUAAAGGGGGCGCAGGCGGAUUUUUAAGUCGGCGGUAAAAUCGUGGGGCUUAACCCCAUCCAGCCGUUGAAAAUGGGGAUCUUGAGUGCGCGAGAGGUAUGCGGAAUGCGUGGUGUAGCGGUGAAAUGCAUAGAUAUCACGCAGAACCCCGAUUGCGAAGGCAGCAUACCGGUGCACAACUGACGCUCAGGCACGAAAGCGUGGGUAUCGAACAGGAUUAGAUACCCGGGUAGUC